AAAGAUAACGCAGGUGUCCUAAGAUUAGCUCAACGAGAACAGAAAUCUCGUGUGGAACAAAAGGGUAAAAGCUCAUUUGAUUCUGAUUUCUAGUACGAAUACGAACCGUGAAAGCGUAGCCUAUCGAUCCUUUAGACCUUCAAAAUUUGAAGCUAGAGGUGUCAAAAAAGUUACCACAGGGAUAACUAGCUUGUGGCAGCCAAGCGUUCAUAGCGACGUUGCUUUUUGAUCCUUCGAUG
rnacentral:ncRNA from 1 species